rnacentral:rRNA from 1 species
UGCUCGAGUGGCGAACGGGUGAGUAACACGUGAGUAACCUGCCCUUGACUUUGGGAUAACUCCAGGAAACUGGGGCUAAUACCGGAUAGGAGCUCCUGCUGCAUGGUGGGGGUUGGAAAGUUUCGGCGGUUGGGGAUGGACUCGCGGCUUAUCAGCUUGUUGGUGGGGUAGUGGCUUACCAAGGCUUUGACGGGUAGCCGGCCUGAGAGGGUGACCGGCCACAUUGGGACUGAGAUACGGCCCAG